rnacentral:sRNA from 1 species
AGUGGCGUUGACCCCGUGUUAACCUUUCAUGGUCACUCUGGCUGCGGUUCCGCCUUCCCUUUGACCACGGAUGUACUGGCACUGGCGUGAGGAUGGAUGACGAAAGGCCGGAUUACUCCGGCCUUUUUGUUU